GNAUUUAUUGGGCGUAGAGGGAGCGCAGGCGGUCAGGAAAGUCUGGAGUAAAAGGCUAUGGNUCAACCAUAGUGUGCUCUGGAAACUNUCUGACUUGAGUGCAGAAGGGGAGAGUGGAAUUCCAUGUGUAGCGGUGAAAUGCGUAGAUAUAUGGAGGAACACCAGUGGCGAAAGCGGCUCUCUGGUCUGUCACUGACGCUGAGGCUCGAAAGCGUGGGUAGCGAACAGGAUUAGAUACCCUGGUAGUCCACGCCGUAAACGAUGAGUGCUAGGUGUUAGGCCCUUUCCGGGGCUUAGUGCCGGAGCUAACGCAAUAAGCACUCCGCCUGGGGAGUACGACCGCAAGGUUGAAACUCAAAGGAAUUGACGGGGGCCCGCACAAGCGGUGGAGCAUGUGGUUUAAUUCGAAGCAACGCGAAGAACCUUACCAGGUCUUGACAUCCCGAUGCUAUUCUUAGAGAUAGGAAGUUACUUCGGUACAUCGGAGACAGGUGGUGCAUGGUUGUCGUCAGCUCGUGUCGUGAGAUGUUGGGUUAAGUCCCGCAACGAGCGCAACCCUUAUUGUUAGUUGCCAUCAUUAAGUUGGGCACUCUAGCGAGACUGCCGGUAAUAAACCGGAGGAAGGUGGGGAUGACGUCAAAUCAUCAUGCCCCUUAUGACCUGGGCUACACACGUGCUACAAUGGUCGGUACAACGAGUCGCGAGCCGGUGACGGCAAGCUAAUCUCUGAAAGCCGAUCUCAGUUCGGAUUGGAGGCUGCAACUCGCCUCCAUGAAGUCGGAAUCGCUAGUAAUCGCGGAUCAGCACGCCGCGGUGAAUACGUUCCCGGGCCUUGUACACACCGCCCGU
rnacentral:rRNA from 1 species